rnacentral:misc_RNA from 1 species
UUUCCGUAAGUGAACCUGCGGAAGGAUCAUUAUUGUAUAACCGAGGUGCGAGGGCUGUCGCUGACUCGAAAGGUCGUGCACGCCCGAGUGCCCUCACACACAUCCAUCUCACCCCUAUGUGCACCACCGCGUGGGUCCCCCUUUGGCUUGUUCGGAGGGGGGCUUACGUUUUCACACAAACUUUGUAUGCAGUGUAGAAUGUAUUUUUUGUUUUUGCGAUCACGCAAUCAAUACAACUUUCAACAACGGAUCUCUUGGCUCUC